UCGAACAAAAAUGCCGGGAAUGCCAUUUUAUAUGAAUGUGUUGAAACAAUUAUGAGCAUUGAAGAUAACAGCGGCUUGCAGGUGCUUGCCAUCAAUAUUUUGGGUAGAUUCCUAUCAAACCGUGACAACAAUAUCAGGUUUUCCACGGAAAAAAUUUGGUACAUUGAUCAGAUGCUCAAGGUUCUCUCUGAGGUAUGAAUUAAAGUGCUGGUCAUUCAAGUUAUUGAUUUUAGGAUGUAUAUUUGAGGCUUGUAUCCACACUUCUUUUUACAAAGAAAAAAAAUAUAUAUUUAUUUAUUUGGAGGCUUAUCUUCAGUGUUCACACUUAAAUGCUCGUGAUAUAUUAUAAUCGAGUGUAUUUAUGGCG